rnacentral:rRNA from 1 species
GACGAACGCUGGCGGCGUGCUUAACACAUGCAAGUCGAACGGAAAGGCCCUGCUUUUGUGGGGUUCUCGAUUGGCGAACGGGUGAGUAACACGUGAGUAACCUGCCCUUGACUUUGUGAUAACUUCAGGAAACUGGGGCUAAUACCGGAUAGGAGCUCCUGCUGCAUGGUGGGGGUUGGAAAGUUUCGGCGGUUGGGGAUGGUCUCGCGGCUUAUCCGCUUGUUUGUGUGGUAGUUGCUUACCAAGGCUUUGACGGGUAGCCGGCCUGAGAGGGUGAACGGCCACAUGGGGACUGAGAGACGGCGCAGACUGCUACGGGAGGCAGUAGUGGGGAGUAUUGCACAAUGGGCGGAAGCCUGAUGCAGCAACGCCGCGUGCGGGAUGACGGCCUUCGGGUUGAAAACCGCUGUCGCCUGUGACGAAGCGUGAGUGACGGUAAUGGGUAAAGAAGCACCGGCUAACUACGUG